UGGAGCAUGUGGUUUAAUUCGACGCAACGCGAAGAACCUUACCAGGGCUUGACAUCCCCUGACCGCGUAUGAAAGUACGUUUUCACCCUCGGGUGACAGGGAGACAGGUGGUGCAUGGUUGUCGUCAGCUCGUGUCGUGAGAUGUUGGGUUAAGUCCCGCAACGAGCGCAACCCCUACGUUUAGUUGCUAACGCGUGAAGGCGAGCACUCUAGACGAACUGCCGUUGACAAACGGAGGAAGUGGGGAUGACGUCAAAUCAUCAGCCCCUUAUGUUCUGGGCUACACACGUGCUACAAUGGCCGGUACAGACGGACGCAAAGCCGCGAGGUGGAGCAAAUCCUAAAAAGCCGGUCUCAGUUCGGAUUGCAGGCUGCAAUUCGCCUGCAUGAAGUCGGAAUCGCUAGUAAUCGCAGGUCAGCAUACUGCGGUGAAUACGUUCCCGGGCCUU
rnacentral:rRNA from 1 species